rnacentral:rRNA from 1 species
AACGAACGCUGGCGGCAUGCCUAACACAUGCAAGUCGAACGAGACCUUCGGGUCUAGUGGCGCACGGGUGCGUAACGCGUGGGAACCUGCCCUUAGGUUCGGAAUAACUCCCCGAAAGGGGUGCUAAUACCGGAUAAUGUCUUCGGACCAAAGAUUUAUCGCCUUUGGAUGGGCCCGCGUUGGAUUAGCUAGUUGGUAGGGUAAAAGCCUACCAAGGCGACGAUCCAUAGCUGGUCUGAGAGGAUGAUCAGCCACACUGGGACUGAGACACGGCCCAGACUCGUACGGGAGGCAGCAGUGGGGAAUAUUGGAGAAUGGGCGAAAGCCUGAUCCAGCAAUGCCGCGUGAGUGAUGAAGGCCUUAGGGUUGUAAAGCUCUUUUACCCGGGAUGAUAAUGACAGUACCGGGAGAAUAAGCUCCGGCUAACUCCGUG